GGGCCCGCACAAGCGGUGGAGUAUGUGGUUUAAUUCGAUGCAACGCGAAGAACCUUACCAGGGUUUGACAUCCUGCGAAUCUCUUGGAAACGAGAGAGUGCCUUCGGGAACUCAGUGACAGGUGUUGCAUGGCUGUCGUCAGCUCGUGUCGUGAGAUGUUGGGUUAAGUCCCGUAACGAGCGCAACCCUUAUCCUUAGUUGCCAUCACGUUUGGGUGGGCACUCUAGGGAAACUGCCGGUGCUAAGCCGGAGGAAGGCGGGGAUGACGUCAAGUCCUCAUGGCCCUUACGGGUAGGGCUACACACGUGCUACAAUGGCAGUGACAAUGGGCUAAUCCCCAAAAGCUGUCUCAGUUCGGAUUGUCGGCUGCAACUCGCCGGCAAUG
rnacentral:rRNA from 1 species